rnacentral:rRNA from 1 species
UACGGAGGAUCCGAGCGUUAUCCGGAUUUAUUGGGUUUAAAGGGUGCGUAGGCGGCUUGUUAAGUCAGUGGUGAAAGUUUGCAGCUUAACUGUAAAAUUGCCAUUGAUACUGAUGAGCUUGAAUGUAGUUGAGGUAGGCGGAAUGAGUCAAGUAGCGGUGAAAUGCAUAGAUAUGACUCAGAACACCGAUUGCGAAGGCAGCUUACUAAACUAUGAUUGACGCUGAGGCACGAAAGCGUGGGGAUCGAACAGG